AUUGAACGCUGGCGGCAGGCCUAACACAUGCAAGUCGAGCGAGCGGCGGACGGGUGAGUAAUGUCUGGGGAUCUGCCUGAUGGCGGGGGAUAACUACUGGAAACGGUAGCUAAUACCGCAUACCAUCAGAUGACCCCAUAUGGGAUUAGCUUGUAGGUGAGGUAACGGCUCACCUAGGCGACGAUCCCUAGCUGGUCUGAGAGGAUGACCAGCCACACUGGAACUGAGACACGGCCCAGACUCCUACGGGAGGCAGCAGUGGGGAAUAUUGCACAAUGGGCGCAAGCCUGAUGCAGCCAUGCCGCGUGUGUGAAGAAGGCCUUAGGGUUGUAAAGUACUUUCAGCGAGGAGGCGUUACUCGCAGAAGAAGCACCGGCUAACUCCGUGCCAGCAGCCGCGGUAAUAC
rnacentral:rRNA from 1 species